rnacentral:rRNA from 1 species
ACUAGUGAUUGAAACUGCGAAUGGCUCAUUAAAACAGUUAUAGUUUACUUGAUAUUGCAUUUUACAUGGAUAACCGUAGUAAUUCUAGAGCUAAUACAUGCGUAACGCCAAACUUCUGGAAUGGCAGUAUUUAUUAGAUAACGAAUCAAUAUUCCUCUGGUCUAUUUGAUGAUUCAUAAUAACUAGCUUAUCGAAUCGCUGGGUUGUACCCGCGAUAAAUCAAUCAAGUUUCUGCCCCAUCAGCUUGAUGGUAGUGUAUUGGACUACCAUGGCUUUUACGAGUAACGGGGGAUUAGGGUUCGACACCGGAGAGGGAGCCUGAGAAACGGCUACCACUUCUACGGAAGGCAGCAGGCGCGUAAAUUACCCAAUCCUAAUUCAGGGAGGUAGUGACAAGAAAUAAUAGACCGGCGUAAGCCGGGUUUACAAUGAGCCUAAUUUACACAGCUUAGUGAGGAUCCAUUGGAGGGCAAGUCUGGUGCCAGCAGCCGCGGUAAUUCCAGCUCCAAUAGCAUAUAUUAAAAUUGCUGCAGUUAAAAAGCUCGUAGUUGGAUUUCUGUGAGACUUGUUUUGUUCGGCCUGCGGGUCGGGUGAAUCACUUCUCACAUCCUUCUGUUAACCUUACACUCCUUCACCGGUGUGUCUGUGGGCUCAGAUACUUUACCUUGAGUAAAUUAGAGUGUUUC